UACGGGGGGGGGCAAGCGUUGUUCGGAAUUACUGGGCGUAAAGGGCUCGUAGGCGGCCAACUAAGUCAGACGUGAAAUCCCUCGGCUUAACCGGGGAACUGCGUCUGAUACUGGAUGGCUAGAGGUUGGGAGAGGGAUGCGGAAUUCCAGGUGUAGCGGUGAAAUGCGUAGAUAUCUGGAGGAACACCGGUGGCGAAGGCGGCAUCCUGGACCAAUUCUGACGCUGAGGAGCGAAAGCCAGGGGAGCAAAGCGGGAU
rnacentral:rRNA from 1 species